CUUUUCGUCCAAAGUGCGCCUCAAUCGUACUUGGGCGGAGAAGCUUCUUCCUCUUGGCCCACUGAACGAGUACGAAAGGUCUGGAAGUUUAAUUAAUCUUGAGAUUUUUAGGUCUGCUCAGAUGACAACAAAGGAAGAUGGAAGUUCUAUUAAUUUCGGCCUUUGUUUGUUAACCUGUGGAGCUGGCUUGGAAAGGGCAAAGAAAGAGUUAGCGGCAACGAGAAUAGUUUCUGUGUCGCCUCCAAGGAGCACUGUCAGUUCAGUUAUGCAAUACCGCAAUAAGCAAAUGAUGCACAGAGGGUGCCGAAUGAGCUGAAGCUCAGUCAUUGCCACCAGGUUUGAAGUAUUAAGAGAUUCAAAUGCAGCUUUUUAGGGCUUUGUCCAGAAGAUUUAAGAGAAUGAGCGAGAGAGCCAUUAUAGAAUCUCUUCUUGGGUAAGUUGGCAGAGAGGGAGUUGAAAUUAUCUUUUCAACACCAUAGCACAAGAUUCAGAAUUUUCAACUGGAGAUAUCUCUCCGCUAAAUUCUCCCUAUUCACCAGCAGCAAUUUCUCACACUAAGUUCUCCUUACGUGGAACAUUCAGACUGAGAGAUUAUCGAGUCUCUUUUUUUUUUUUUUUUUUUUUUUUUUUUUUUU